rnacentral:tRNA from 1 species
GAGAAAUUAGUUAAUUCAUAACACUACCUUGUCAAGGUAAAGUAAUAGGCUAAACUCCUAUACUUCUCC